UACGGGGGGGGGCAAGCGUUGUUCGGAAUUACUGGGCGUAAAGGGUUCGUAGGUGGCUUGCUAAGUCAGACGUGAAAUCCCUCAGCUCAACUGGGGAACUGCGUCUGAGACUGGCGAGCUUGAGUGCAGGAGAGGAAUGCGGAAUUCCAGGUGUAGCGGUGAAAUGCGUAGAUAUCUGGAGGAAUACCGGUGACGAAGGCGGCAUCCUGGACCGACAUUGACGCUGAGGAGCGAAAGCUAGGGGAGCAAACGGG
rnacentral:rRNA from 1 species